AGCAGCCGCGGUAAUUCCAGCUCCAAUAGCGUAUAUUAAAGUUGCUGCAGUUAAAAAGCUCGUAGUUGAAUUUCGGGACUAAUAUGUCGGUCGUGCCUCGGUACGUACUGGCUUAUUGGUUUCUCCUUUCUGAAGAACCAUGAUGUCAUUUAUUUGGUGUCGUGGGGAAUCAGGACUGUUACUUUGAAAAAAUUAGAGUGUUUAAAGCAGGCUUUAGCUUGAAUACAUUAGCAUGGAAUAAUGAAAUAGGACGUUCGAACCUAUUUUGUUGGUUUCUAGGAUCAACGUAAUGAUUAAUAGGGAUAGUUGGGGGCAUUAGUAUUCAAUUGUCAGAGGUGAAAUUCUUGGAUUUAUUGAAGACUAACUACUGCGAAAGCAUUUGCCAAGGAUGUUUUCAUUAAUCAAGAACGAAAGUUAGGGGAUCGAAGACGAUCAGAUACCGUCGUAGUCUUAACCAUAAACUAUGCCGACUAGGGAUCGGAUGAUGUUAAUUUUUAAUGACUCAUUCGGCGCCUUACGG
rnacentral:rRNA from 1 species